UAGGGAAUCUUCCACAAUGGACGCAAGUCUGAUGGAGCAACGCCGCGUGAGUGAAGAAGGUUUUCGGAUCGUAAAGCUCUGUUGUUGGUGAAGAAGGAUAGAGGCAGUAACUGGUCUUUAUUUGACGGUAAUCAACCAGAAAGUCACGGCUAACUACGUGCCAGCAGCCGCGGUAAUACGUAGGUGGCAAGCGUUGUCCGGAUUUAUUGGGCGUAAAGCGAGCGCAGGCGGAAUGAUAAGUCUGAUGUGAAAGCCCACGGCUCAACCGUGGAACUGCAUCGGAAACUGUCAUUCUUGAGUGCAGAAGAGGAGAGUGGAACUCCAUGUGUAGCGGUGGAAUGCGUAGAUAUAUGGAAGAACACCAGUGGCGAAGGCGGCUCUCUGGUCUGCAACUGACGCUGAGGCUCGAAAGCAUGGGUAGCGAACAGGAUUAGAUACCCUGGUAGUCCAUGCCGUAAACGAUGAGCGCUAGGUGUUGGGGCACUU
rnacentral:rRNA from 1 species